AGUGGGUGUGUAGUGAGGCAAUGUGUCUUUGAGGUUAUUCUUGCACUAUUAAUAAUAUCGUGUGAAUUAUGUAGAGUGGUUUGGAAGAUAUGUGUUCUAGUGGUUAUAUGGAUAGAGAGUGAAUUAUAUUUUAUGAGUGCAUAUUUGUUAUGACAGAAAACAGGUUGAAGUUUAGUCUUGUUAAGCGGCUGGCUACCUUGUCACUGUGAGCAAAAUAUCCGGUGUACGACAUGAAGUACACAAUGUUUCAUAUAAGGGAUGCUGCAACUGCUCCUUAGUUGAUCCAUCAUCAAACAAGGAACCAAUAACACCAGUGUCCAAGGCAGUGCUUCACAAUUUAGAUGUAUAUUCAGUACACCACGACUACAAUCCGUACCAAAUGGAAACCAUCCAUCUUCUCCAUUGACCAAAUAGAAACGGUGGUUUACUUCAUCAUCUUGGCAGGCUACAUGACAUGGGCGAUCAGGAUCCUCUGUAUGCAGAAAUAUGUAUUUCAUUAGAAUGAUAUGAAGGUGUCUGUAUAAACCACUGCUGGUUUGCUGUAGCAUCCUGUUGCACAUCACUCAUUUUCACUUUUUAUUUCACUGUCUUAUGUGCAACUUGUGUUAAAAUCUUAAGAUAUUAACACAAGUUGCAUUUGAUACAGUGAAAUAGGAAAUGAAAAUGACUGACUAUGGGCUGACCAAGUGAGUGAAAAUACGAUUGAAGGAGGAUGCUUAAGAGAGAAUGGAGAAGGAGAAUAUAGGAUUAUCUGCUGUGGUGGAAAUGUCAAUAGAAGAUGAAUUAAUCUGGUGCUUUAUCAAUUCGUUUUGGAAUCCAUAUGUGUGUGUACUCCUGCAGCAUGUUCUGUCAAUCUUAAGGUGGAACAUACUGCUUCUUUCAAGGUUUCUCUGACAGUUGAAAAAUCUUGAUGGUGUGAAUG